rnacentral:rRNA from 1 species
ACUAACUAGGAUUCCCCCAGUAACGGCGAGCGAAGUGGGAACAGCUCGAGCCUUGAAUCCCUGGCAGUCAUGCCAGCGAAUUGUGGCCGGGAGAGGUAGUUCGGUCCUGGCCUGCGGCGUCGAAGUUGACCUGGAAGGGCACGUCGGAGAGGGUGAGAACCCCGUGCUAGACCCCGCGGGUGAGGGCGGUCGCUGCCUUCUGAGAGUCGGGUUGUUUGGGAAUGCAGCCCAAAGUGGGUGGUAAACUCCAUCUGAAGCUAAAUACGGGCACGAGACCGAUAGCGAACAAGUACCAUGAGGGAAAGGUGAAAAGCACUUUGAAAAGAGAGUCAAAGAGACCGCGAAACCGUUAGGGGGGAACCGAAUGCAGCUUGAUGACCCCAUUCGGGUUCAGGGAGAGUUGUGCGUCUGCCGGUGCGGUCGACUCGAAAAGAGCGGCUGUUCCCGGGUGUUCGCCGACUCUUCUGCAUUCCCGUCUCGGGGGUCGGCCAACGAAGGCGGCUCGCGACCGAGAAGGGCGAGAGGGAAGGUUCCUUUGCGCGCCUUCUGGUGCGCGGAGAGCUUACAGCCUCUCACCUGGUGAGGUUGCGAGCCGCCGAGGGAAGUGCGACCAUCGCACAGAGCAGUGCAGGCUCCGCGGGGGCCGGGUCGCUUCUGGUCGUUCGGGAAUCGCGGCGAGGGACUGCUUGCAGUGUCCGCUGACGUACCUCCUGCUCGGCCGGGAGGUUGGCCACGACGUGCACUGCGGUCGU